CGAACGCUGGCGGCAUGCCUAACACAUGCAAGUCGAACGAGACCUUCGGGUCUAGUGGCGCACGGGUGCGUAACGCGUGGGAACCUGCCCUUAGGUUCGGAAUAACUCCCCGACAGGGGUGCUAAUACCGGAUAAUGUCUUCGGACCAAAGAUUUAUCGCCUUUGGAUGGGCCCGCGUUGGAUUAGCUAGUUGGUAGGGUAAAAGCCUACCAAGGCGACGAUCCAUAGCUGGUCUGAGAGGAUGAUCAGCCACACUGGGACUGAGACACGGCCCAGACUCCUACGGGAGGCAGCAGUGGGGAAUAUUGGACAAUGGGCGAAAGCCUGAUCCAGCAAUGCCGCGUGAGUGAUGAAGGCCUUAGGGUUGUAAAGCUCUUUUACCCGGGAUGAUAAUGACAGUACCGGGAGAAUAAGCUCCGGCUAACUCCGUG
rnacentral:rRNA from 1 species